rnacentral:rRNA from 1 species
CGGGCGAGUAAUGCUUGGGAAUCUAGCUUAUGGAGGGGGAUAACUACGGGAAACUGUAGCUAAUACCGCGUAGAAUCGGGAGAUGAAAGUGUGGGACCUUCGGGCCACAUGCCAUAGGAUGAGCCCAAGUGGGAUUAGGUAGUUGGUGAGGUAAAGGCUCACCAAGCCGACGAUCUCUAGCUGGUCUGAGAGGAUGACCAGCCACACUGGGACUGAGACACGGCCCAG